UGUUGAUGCGGUACUGUUAGCAGAAUUUUGUUGGGUUCUGUUUUGAUUUUAGUGUGGAUUAUGUUCGGGCAGCAGAUCUGUUCGUCGGUCAUGGCUUUUAUGGGACUGGAGUAGCCGGUACGAAGUAAGAAUGUCACAUGACUCAAGCCAACUCGAGUGGCUGCCUAGGGACCAAAGUGUAGAACAAGGGCCAAACUGUUUUCCUUUUUGUCGUUUAUUAGAAACUUGGACCUGAAUUUUGAUUUGUAAUUAGAUGAACCUGAGUUUGGUUGUCUCGCUCUUGUUAUGGAUGGUGACUUCUUGAGUUCCUGUAUUAAAUCGUAACUCCCUUGUUUGUGGUUUUCCAAGUGCUGUUCCAAGUAUAUGUGAAACUUGUGGUAUGAAAUGUGUUUUUGACUUGGAAUGUAAUGACUUGGGAUUGGUUUUGUAUAUUAUGUAACAGGGAUUAAACUUGUAUGACAUUGUAAUGUGAGUGUAACAAUUUGGUUUGAAAUAUCAUUAUAAGGGCUUGGAUCCUUUUCUUGUAA